UUCCAGGACCAUAAACCUGAGUUAUACAGUAGGUGUUUAAAAUACUUAGAUAUGCUUUUGCUUUAAAAGUUCCUUCCUAUACACAGGAAUAGAUCCUGACGUCGUCAUCUUUUAUUGCCUACACUGUAAAAAAUUUCCGGGAUUUCACAAGAUGUAACAGUAAUAUUUCACAGUAACUUACAUUAUUAGCAUUUCACAGGCAUUAACUGUGAUAUUUCACAAUAUAGUGCAGUGUUGAGACUUUUAUUGUAAAAAGAAUGCCAUCAGCGAAAUUACAGGAAGCGGCUGUGACUUUCCUCCCGCGCUGGCGCUAUCUUUGAGUUCUCUCAUCUCUGCGGAUUCAGUGGUUCUUCCCACAGCAUCUCACAGCGGCACUUUUUGGGCAUUAAUCCGGAGACAGGCACAAAGUCAAAGAAGCAGAAAGGACUCAUCAACCAGCAAGUCUGUACACUCAUAAGAAAACAUAUUGAUUUUGAAUGGAUGUUAGUCUAGUGUGAUCCAAAAUUUUGUUCUUUGUUUAGCUAGGCAGUUAUGCACUUUACUAAUUACUAUGUUCUAUAUUGUCUCUUUGUUCAAUAAAGAAACACUACGCUGUAAAAA